GGAUAUGGCUGCCACAUCUGUCACCUCAUUGAUCACCAGGGUUGAUUCGGCUGCUCUGGAUGGCUAGAUGGGUGUCUCCUUUUUCCCUCGCUGCUCCAUAUGCAUCCCUUCUGAAGCUGCAUGCUCAGUUGAAGAGGGUGACCAUCCCCGAUAGAGGACGACUGGCCAAGGGUAGACCGUAGCUAUGCUUCCCUGCUAGAGCCUCCAGACAAGCUCUCGAUAAUAUCCUGUCUUAAAAAAAAGAUCUGUUAGGUGUGUUCAGAACAAGUGGAUAAGUACAAUUGAGGAAUCCAUGUAUAAUUUCAAUCAUCUUUUAGAUUAAAAAAACCGAU
rnacentral:snRNA from 1 species